GGUAUCGUGGUGCUUUCUGCCAGGAACUGGCCAGCGUUUAAUUGCCUGUUUUUCCCUACCAGGCUCACUUUCGACCUCCUGGCACUGCGUGGCUGUCAUCUGAGAUGUGAUAGUGAAGAGCAGAGAAGUGGGAAGAGGGAGGUGACAGGGAAGCCACAGGAGGAGGAAAUAAAGGUCAUCAAGUGUGGCGAUGUGCAUGCCAUGGCAGAGAGAAGACAGGCGGUCCAUUUCAGUUUACAGAGCUGCGUUCCAAUACUCUCAGCUGGUCCUGCCCUAUUUCUGACUGCUGCAAACUACAGGCACACAUGUGCCACUUCUCUUCCUGGGAAGGGGUAAGGGACGUCUUGCCUCUUGAUGAGACCCAACACUCGAACAUGGGGAGUAAAGGCAGGGAACCUUUUAUGCCGCCCUCCUGCUUCCGCACAGUGCCUGGCCACGUGGUAGUCCAGCCACUGUUUUUUGAGAUC
rnacentral:lncRNA from 1 species